rnacentral:rRNA from 1 species
CUUUAUUGGAGAGUUUGAUCCUGGCUCAGGACGAACGCUGGCGGCGUGCCUAAUACAUGCAAGUCGAGCGAGUCUCUUCGG